GCCGCGCGGCGCCUGCGCGGGCAGCAGAGAGAAGAGUGAGGACGUGAAGGAAGGGGUUCUGGCGAGGAUCACGCCCCUUAAACCUUUCCUCCUUCCUCACCUCGGUCCCUCCCUCGAGGUCCUCUGAGUUGCCCGCCCCCUGCUGGAUGCCAGCAAUGACAUAAACACGGCCAGGGUGAACAGGUGUUUUCUUGUUUACCGACAUUCUGGAGUAAAUCCGUUCCCCAGCCUACAGCAGGGGCUCGGCAGUCUGAGAAGAGCUUGCGUUCAUUUUUCUCCUCCUCACCCGCAGGAGACCCCAUUCUACAAGGCUCAUGUGUGAUGGCCGCGUCCGGAGGAUGGGGUGCUGUGACGGAGGAUGUGGCUGGGGAUGGCUGGAGGUUAAAAAGAACGGUGGGCGAACGUGGGAGAGAGAGAAACCACUGCUGAGCCGCCAUCGUUCACUAGCGCCACCUCUAGCUCGCUGAGCUCCAGCCGAAGGAGAAGGGGGGAAGUGAGCUAACAUGUCUCAAGCAGCCAUAAAGGGCCUGCAUGGAACUGAGACCUCAGUUAAAAUCAACCAACUUGGAGUUCCCGUUGUGACACAAUGGAAACAAAUCCGACUAGUA